UGUCUAUGCCGCAGAGACCCAGGGGUGGAGAUGUUUUCAUCUCGGUUUUCUGCCUGGUCUGUCCUCUUCUUCCACCAGGAGGCAGGGGACGGUUUUUGCACUUUCUUGCUAGGAACCCGAAGCCGCAAAGCUGAUGGCAUCCUUCUUCCCUGUCCAGGAAAGCGAAGCGACUGGUUUGGGAACAGAAUGCUCUGAUUUGGAGCUCCUCCCAUCCCAUUAAAGCCUGGAUGCUGUCUGAAUGUCGGAUUGCACAUCCUAUUGUAAAAUGUACUUACUGCAGAUCAGAAUUUCAACAAGAGAGCAAAACUAACACAAUUUGUAAGAAGUGUGCUCAAAAUGUGAAGCAAUUUGGGACGCCCAAGCCUUGUCAGUACUGUAACAUAAUUGCAGCAUUUAUUGGUACCAAGUGUCAGCGUUGCACAAAUUCAGAAAAAAAGUAUGGACCACC
rnacentral:ncRNA from 3 species